rnacentral:rRNA from 1 species
GCCUACGGGAGGCAGCAGUGAGGAAUAUUGGUCAAUGGGCGUAAGCCUGAACCAGCCAAGUCGCGUGAGGGAUGAAGUUUCUAUGGAUCGUAAACCUCUUUUAUAAGGGAAUAAAGUGUGGGACGUGUCCUCUUUUGUAUGUACCUUAUGAUUAAGGCUCGGCUAACUCCGUGCCAGCAGCCGCGGUAAUACGGAGGAGCCGAGCGUUAUCCGGAUUUAUUGGGUUUAAAGGGUGCGUAGGCGGCCUUUUAAGUCAGCGGUGAAAGUCUGUGGCUCAACCAUAGAAUUGCCGUUGAAACUGGGGGGCUUGAGUAUGUUUGAGGCAGGCGGAAUGCGUGGUGUAGCGGUGAAAUGCUUAGAUAUCACGCAGAACCCCGAUUGCGAAGGCAGCCUGCCAAGCCAUGACUGACGCUGAUGCACGAAAGCGUGGGGAUCAAACAGGAUUAGAUACCCGAGUAGUC